rnacentral:rRNA from 1 species
CCCCACAGCCAUGUCACCCUGCAGCCCAAGACCGGUUACUCACUGAAGCUAAGCAGGGCUGAGCCUGGUCAGUACCUGGAUGGGAGACCACAUGUGAACACUAGGUUGGUGUUAGUU